ACGGGUGUAGCUCAAGUGGUAGAGCAGCGGUCUCCAAAACCGCAGGUUGGGGGUUCGAGUCCCUCCACCCGUG
rnacentral:tRNA from 2 species